GGUCUGGCGGCGAGUGGCGAACGGGUGAGUAAUGUAUCGGAACGUGCCCAGUAGCGGGGGAUAACUACUCGAAAGAGUAGCUAAUACCGCAUACGCCCUACGGGGGAAAGGGGGGGAUCGCAAGACCUCUCACUAUUGGAGCGGCCGAUAUCGGAUUAGCUAGUUGGUGAGGUAAAGGCUCACCAAGGCGACGAUCCGUAGCUGGUUUGAGAGGACGACCAGCCACACUGGGACUGAGACACGGCCCAGACUCCUACGGGAGGCAGCAGUAGGGAAUUUUGGACAAUGGGGGCAACCCUGAUCCAGCCAUCCCGCGUGUGCGAUGAAGGCCUUCGGGUUGUAAAGCACUUUUGGCAGGAAAGAAAUCGCAUGGAUUAAUACUCUGUGUGGAUGACGGUACCUGCAGAAUAAGCACCGGCUAACUACGUGCCAGCAGCCGCGGUAAUACGUAGGGUGCAAGCGUUAAUCGGAAUUACUGGGCGUAAAGCGUGCGCAGGCGGUUCGGAAAGAAAGAUGUGAAAUCCCAGGGCUUAACCUUGGAACUGCAUUUUUAACUCCCGAGCUAGAGUGCGUCAGAGGGGGGUGGAAUUCCGCGUGUAGCAGUGAAAUGCGUAGAUAUGCGGAGGAACACCGAUGGCGAAGGCAGCCCCCUGGGAUGACACUGACGCUCAUGCACGAAAGCGUGGGGAGCAAACAGGAU
rnacentral:rRNA from 1 species